rnacentral:lncRNA from 10 species
AUGUGUAUAUUUUUUCAAAAAGUAAAUUUAUUUUUAUUUUAUCAUAGGUUACAAAUAAUAAUUGUAUAUGUUUACAGGGUAUACUGUGAUGUUAUGAUACAUGUAUUCAUAGUGGGAUGAUUAAAUUAAGCUAAUUAACAUAACCAUCACCUCACAUACUGAUUUCAUUGUAGUGAAAACAUUUGGAUUUUUUUUUAGUAAUUUUUAAACAUGCAUUACUAUUAAUUUUAGUCACCAUUAUGUGUGUUUAAUGCUUUUCAACUAACAAAGAAAAGAAUUUAAAGAGUGAAUGUUGUACUUUUUUACAUGAAUUGAAUAUACAUUUCCUAUAAACAUGAUUGCAUUGCGUUAUUUCAAAAUAUAAGAGUUAGUAAUAUGGAAAAUGAUGAAUAAGAACAGUUUUAUAAGUUGGUGGGGAGUGUAAAGAGUAGUUGGCUGGAAGAUAAGUGACCCGCACAUUCAUUUUGGUUCUAUGGUUGAUCCAUUCACUGGUGACUCUGGGAAAAGAUUGACUCUGAGAAAGAACAAAGUAUAUGAGGUAUAUUAGCAUGUAUUCAUAGUUUAAAUUUAAAAUUAUAUGAUUUGGAGACUGAAUAUAAUGCUAAAUUUAAUAAAAUAUCGCAUUGAAAGAAG